GACAGAGGUGCCGAGCGUUAGGCGGAAUCACUGGGCUUAAAGCGUGUGUAGGCGGAUCGUUAAGUGCCUUGUGAAAUCCCACGGCUCAACCGUGGAACUGCUUGGCAUACUGGCGAUCUUGAGCCACUUAGGGGCUACCGGAACAAAUGGUGGAGCGGUGAAAUGCGUAGAUAUCAUUUGGAACGCCAAUGGUGAAAACAGGUAGCUGGGAGUGUGCUGACGCUGAGACACGAAGCCAGGGGAGCAAACGGG
rnacentral:rRNA from 1 species